AGAAUCAGUACUGUCUACGGAUAAUGGCACCCACAAGCAAGGUGACACCAUUUCAGAAAAGUCAGAAUCAGUACAGUCUAAGGAUAAUGGCAACCACAAGCAAGGUGACACCAUUCCAGAAAAUGCAGUUGGUAAAGAAUCAGAACAGUCUGAGGGUGGAGGCACCCACAAUCAAGGUGAGACCAUUCCAGAAAAUUCAGCUGUGAAAGAAACGGAUCCCUCUCAUCCAGGUGGCAACCCUGAGCCAGACAGUACUAGGCCAAAAGCACCAGGUAAU